GAUGAACGCUGGCGGCGUGCCUAAUACAUGCAAGUCGAGCGAACAGACGAGGAGCUUGCUCCUCUGACGUUAGCGGCGGACGGGUGAGUAACACGUGGAUAACCUACCUAUAAGACUGGGAUAACUUCGGGAAACCGGAGCUAAUACCGGAUAAUAUAUUGAACCGCAUGGUUCAAUAGUGAAAGACGGUUUUGCUGUCACUUAUAGAUGGAUCCGCGCCGCAUUAGCUAGUUGGUAAGGUAACGGCUUACCAAGGCAACGAUGCGUAACCGACCUGAGAGGGUGAUCGGCCACAAUGGAACUGAGACACGGUCCAGACUCCUACGGGAGGCAGCAGUAGGGAAUACUCCGCAAUGGGCGAAAGCCUGACGGCGCAACGCCGCGUGAGUGAUGAAGGUCUUCGGAUCGUAAAACUCUGUUCUUAGGGAAGAACAAAUGUGUCAGUAACUAUGCACGUAUUGACGGUACCUAAUCAGAAAGCCACGGCUAACUACGUG
rnacentral:rRNA from 1 species